rnacentral:rRNA from 1 species
AAAUUGAAGAGUUUGAUCAUGGCUCAGAUUGAACGCUGGCGGCAGGCCUAACACAUGCAAGUCGAACGGUAACAGGAAGCAGCUUGCUGCUUUGCUGACGAGUGGCGGACGGGUGAGUAAUGUCUGGGAAACUGCCUGAUGGAGGGGGAUAACUACUGGAAACGGUGGCUAAUACCGCAUAACGUCGCAAGACCAAAGAGGGGGACCUUCGGGCCUCUUGCCAUCAGAUGUGCCCAGAUGGGAUUAGCUUGUUGGUGAGGUAACGGCUCACCAAGGCGACGAUCCCUAGCUGGUCUGAGAGGAUGACCAGCCACACUGGAACUGAGACACGGUCCAGACUCCUACGGGAGGCAGCAGUGGGGAAUAUUGCACAAUGGGCGCAAGCCUGAUGCAGCCAUGCCACGUGUAUGAAGAAGGCCUUCGGGUUGUAAAGUACUUUCAGCGGGGAGGAAGGUGUUGUGGUUAAUAACCGCAGCAAUUGACGUUACCCGCAGAAGAAGCACCGGCUAACUCCGUGCCAGCAGCCGCGGUAAUACGGAGGGUGCAAGCGUUAAUCGGAAUUACUGGGCGUAAAGCGCACGCAGGCGGUCUGUCAAGUCGGAUGUGAAAUCCCCGGGCUCAACCUGGGAACUGCAUUCGAAACUGGCAGGCUUGAGUCUUGUAGAGGGGGGUAGAAUUCCAGGUGUAGCGGUGAAAUGCGUAGAGAUCUGGAGGAAUACCGGUGGCGAAGGCGGCCCCCUGGACAAAGACUGACGCUCAGGUGCGAAAGCGUGGGGAGCAAACAGGAUUAGAUACCCUGGUAGUCCACGCCGUAAACGAUGUCUACUUGGAGGUUGUGCCCUUGAGGCGUGGCUUCCGGAGCUAACGCGUUAAGUAGACCGCCUGGGGAGUACGGCCGCAAGGUUAAAACUCAAAUGAAUUGACGGGGGCCCGCACAAGCGGUGGAGCAUGUGGUUUAAUUCGAUGCAACGCGAAGAACCUUACCUGGUCUUGACAUCCACAGAACUUUCCAGAGAUGGAUUGGUGCCUUCGGGAACUGUGAGACAGGUGCUGCAUGGCUGUCGUCAGCUCGUGUUGUGAAAUGUUGGGUUAAGUCCCGCAACGAGCGCAACCCUUAUCCUUUGUUGCCAGCGGUCCGGCCGGGAACUCAAAGGAGACUGCCAGUGAUAAACUGGAGGAAGGUGGGGAUGACGUCAAGUCAUCAUGGCCCUUACGACCAGGGCUACACACGUGCUACAAUGGCGCAUACAAAGAGAAGCGACCUCGCGAGAGCAAGCGGACCUCAUAAAGUGCGUCGUAGUCCGGAUUGGAGUCUGCAACUCGACUCCAUGAAGUCGGAAUCGCUAGUAAUCGUGGAUCAGAAUGCCACGGUGAAUACGUUCCCGGGCCUUGUACACACCGCCCGUCACACCAUGGGAGUGGGUUGCAAAAGAAGUAGGUAGCUUAACCUUCGGGGGGGCGCUUACCACUUUGUGAUUCAUGACUGGGGUGAAGUCGUAACAAGGUAACCGUAGGGGAACCUGCGGUUGGAUCACCUCCUUA